rnacentral:rRNA from 1 species
GAUGAACGCUGACAGAAUGCUUAACACAUGCAAGUCGACUCGAGUCUUCGGACUUGGGUGGCGCACGGGUGAGUAACGCGUAAAGAACUUGCCUCUUAGACCGGGACAACAUCUGGAAACGGAUGCUAAUACCGGAUAUUAUGGUUUUUUCGCAUGGAGGAAUCAUGAAAGCUGGAUGCGCUAAGAGAGAGCUUUGCGUCCCAUUAGCUAGUUGGUGAGGUAACGGCCCACCAAGGCAAUGAUGGGUAGCCGGCCUGAGAGGGUGAACGGCCACAAGGGGACUGAGACACGGCCCUUACUCCUACGGGAGGCAGCAGUGGGGAAUAUUGGACAAUGGACCGCAAGUCUGAUCCAGCAAUUCUGUGUGCACGAUGACGUUUUUCGGAAUGUAAAGUGCUUUCAGUCGGGAAGAAGUCAGUGACGGUACCGACAGAAGAAGCGACGGCUAAAUACGUGCCAGCAGCCGCGGUAAUACGUAUGUCGCAAGCGUUAUCCGGAUUUAUUGGGCGUAAAGCGCGUCUAGGCGGCAAGGAAAGUCUGAUGUGAAAAUGCGGAGCUCAACUCCGUAUGGCGUUGGAAACUGCCUUACUAGAGUACUGGAGAGGUAGGCGGAACUACUAGUGUAGAGGUGAUUUCGUAGAUAUUUGUAAGAAUGCCGAUGGGGAAGCCAGCCUACUGGACAGAUACUGACGCUAAGCGCGAAAGCGUGGGUAUCAAACAGG